CUAUUUUAUUAUUUUUAAAAAACAUUCUUUUAAAAGAGAAAUUUGUGUGUUGUUUUUUUCUCACUGUAGUUGUUUUUUUUUGUUUUCCUUUUUCUCUUUCUUUCCUUCUCAUCAACACUAUAUUUCUCCUUAUUCUAUUCGUUUUCUAUUAAAAAUAUUGUUUUAAAAAGACAAAAUUCAAUUAUUUGUUGAAAAAUGUUUUUAGCCAACAAACAAGCAAUGUUAACU
rnacentral:lncRNA from 1 species